AAGAAAAAGGAGGAGCACGACGGAGUACGGGGGCAGCUUUCACUGUGGAGCAGAAACAUCUGGAAGCAUUUACAUCUGCACAAACACACAGAGCGGCCCCGGCCCAACAGUUACAUCACCCACAGCUCGACACAAUCCCACAACAACGCCACUCGUCUGCAUUCUUGCAGAAAUACGCCCUUCACUGCAGCGCUGACAAAACACACACACAACUGUUCCUGACAACACAACAAGCACGUAAACGAACAGCGGAAUAAUCCAUAAAAACACCUCAGAUGUUCCUGAAGACCCACAGAGCUGCGUGUGGACGAGAGCCUACACACACAUGCACACUUGUACACACAACCCCCCCUCCCCUUCGGCCCCCGUAACCCAGUACGAUUUCCUGCAAAUUCCAAAGUCAGAUCCCGGCUGGAACAUUUCAACUCGCCUUGCCACGUCAGUUUUCCGACCCCGUCCUACCACUCAGUCUCUUUUGCUGCCGUUCACCCGAUUUGCAGCCUACACGAAAAAGCCAACAGUCCGAUUCGUCUCUGGGCAACGAAGAUCGUGUGCGUUAUUAUUUUGGUAUUGCUCGUCGUUUUCUGACCUUUUCAGGCGAGACACAGCUGAGGCCUAAAAGAAGGCAACUUGCUAGGGUAGCGACCUGCAGACACAAUGACCUCUGGGUCGUUCCUCCUGAAGCCCUCCCCCCCACCCAGCCUGCCCAGUGUUCAGACUACCUGUUCCUAAAGCUACAGCUGAACAGUAGUCUGCACAUUGGUUAGGCUAGCCUGGGACGCACACACUUCCUGUCUCUGAUGUCAUAGCAGCGGUGUCGCCAACAUUUUCGUCGUGUUUUUAUUUUUUCCUGUUGUGUGAUUUCAUUUCAUGUUGGACCUUUAUACAUCCAGUUGUGUCAGACUAAAUGUGGUCUUAUGAAACAGAAAACCGUCUCACCUCCUCAUCUUUGUACCAGGAGAGGGACUCAGCUGUCAGGACAAACCAGUAUUCCUUAGAGCCUCCUUUCAUGAUGCUGAGGUGAAGAGUUAGCCAGCCUUUCCUGAUCACCUACAGAGUCAGGAAAAUAUGUAGGAGAAACCAGGAUCCAAGGGACAUGGGGAAUUUUAGGAAGGUGAGGGAAAACAACAUUAACUAUCAGGAUUAUGCACUGUGGAAACGUGGAGCCCAGGAUUUGACAGAGACUGUUAGAACCUUACCCCACUUACCUUCAAGGACAGUUUUGAUUUGAAUCUCAGUGUUAAACAUGUCAGCGAGUUUUCAAUCAUUAAUGCCAAAACUAAAUGUUAAAAUGUUAAAAUCAGGUUAGUAAAGUAUGCCUAAGGUGAUAUAUGUGUAUAGUUAGGUUACAUUUAAUGAACAGACCAGAUGAUUGAUUAAUUGAUAGUUGCUAAAACGGAUGAAGGCAUGGUUCUCUUCUAUUCAGCAGCACAUAAAUCAUUAAACUAGCAAACAGUCACAGAUGUUCUCCAGGGCGUUUGACCCAGAACAGAGAAAGACAAACGGGGUUGGCUUGAAUCAGAUCUACAUGGGUUGGAUUACAGAAUAAAAGCGCUAAAGCAGACCAAGAAGUCAGUGAAAAGAUUAGAUGCAGAAACAAAGCAGACAAUUAUUUUUAGAGAUGGAGACAAAUCUAAAGAACAUGAAGAUCAGAGACGGAGUAAAUACACCGGUCUACAGUCGGUCACUCUGGGGAAAAAAUGCUGUGCUGCUUUAGAGUUUGUCGCGACCUUCUCAUUUUCUUGCUCUUUGUGAACUUGUUUAAUGGAAAAAUAUAUAAAAGAAACUUAUUGGGAGAGAAGUUUGGCCUGUGCGAAGUAAACGUCAGGUUUUAUAUAAUUCCUCUUGAUGCAAAAGGGAAAUGGAGCGGGUGAUGUAGGAGAAAGCAUUACCUUCGUUCCAAUAGAAACACGGGCGAAAAGACAAGAAAAUAGAAGAUGCCAUGGUAGCUUGCUUUGGCAAGUAAAUCAUUAAGCCUUAGAAGAAAAAUCCAUGCACCUCUUUUGUGUUCUUAGAUCACUUAUGAGAUGUGAGGGUGUAAUGAUGAGGUGGUGUUUGUGUUAAGACCAAUAUUUAGUACGUUUGUUAUUGAUUAGAUGAUAGAAGGGGCUGCGCAGUGGUUAGAGCUGUUGCCGGCCUGGGAUCUUUCUGUAUGGAGUUAGCAUGUUCUCCCUGUGCAUGCGUGGGUUCUCUCCGGUACUCCGGCUUCCUCCCACAGUCCAAAAACAUGACUGUUAGGCUAAUUGGUCUGUCUAAAUUAUCCUUAGGUGUGUGUGUGUGUGUGUGUGUGUGUGUGUGUGCAUUAUUGUUUGUCCUGUGUGUCUCUGUGCCCCCCCCCCCCCCCCACCCCACCCCAACCUACGUGGACAAAGCGGGUUCAGACAAUGGAUGGAUGGAUGGAUGGAUGGAUGGAUGGAUAGAAGUUGUUAAUUUACAUCUGAAAUCAAGAAAGACGUUUGAUUGGAGGAAAAUUUGUUUAUUUAAAAUUUGCCUUCAUGGAUAUCAGUGGCAGAAAACCAGGGGUUGGUUCCAGUCAUUAUUAUUCACCCCAAAGCCCUGACCCGAUUAAAACGCUAUUUGGAUCAACUCUGAGAACAGUAAUUACAUUCAGAUCAAUUGUUGUUAGUAGAUUAUUUAAGAGAAAAUGCCUAAAAAAUAUUAUUUUUUUCACUUGAUUGCAUGUUGCUAACUGGAUUAAUGCCACUCUCCUGAUCCCAGUGGCGUUUGUGGCGGAUUUCACAAAGCAGACGUUUGAAUCACCAAGCUUGAGGCAGCAGCAGAGGUCAAACCAAACGACAGGGAACUGAUUCCUCCACACUCACUGGUGGCACACUUCCUCUACUUCUCUCUUGCUUUUGUUAAUGGAGAGAAACACCACCAGACCUUUUGGUGGCAAAUUUAUUCAGAAUCUUUACUAAACACACAGCAGAAAAAUGUUAGUAGAAUUACCGCAUCAUUAAAUAAACAGAAUUACAGGUUUAAAUGUGUGACGCUACUAUUAAAAAUGUCCAAAUUACUGGUUAUGGUGCGCUGACGCUUGAAUUAAACUGAAGUGCGCUGACGCUUGAAUUAAACUGAAGCAGUCAGGCAAGUCUCUACCUCUUCCUCCUGGACCUCUCCCAGCAGGCCGAGCUGCAGAGGGGUAGAACAACUCAUUAUGAUGGAGGUAUCACCUCACACAGACACAGGAGCCAAAGUUUGAUCAGAAAUCUAUUCUAACUCCAACCAAACUGGCUGACCUUAACUUAUACGGCCUCAGUUCUUCUGCAUGGUUUACCCCUGCUGCCCCUGGCAGGGUGUGGGUUAAAUCUGUGGGGUACUUACCAAAAUCUCACCCUGCGGUAAUAGGAAGGGAAUGAGAUUAAAGCAGAGGGGAGUGGUAAAAAAUCAAAGCCAAAAUAAAUGAGAAAGCAAGAAAGAGGAGACAAGAGACAGAGAAGAAAGAAGGUAAAGGGUGAAAGUUUCAUUCAUAUGGGUAAAGAAGGAAAAAGGGAAGAAUGGAAAAGGAAAAGAGGAGGGGGGGGGGGGGGGGGGUUGAAGGUGCAGCAAAGGAAAUCCAGGAGGAGACCAGAGAUGGAUGUAAAGAGGAGAGAGAUAAGAGAGACAGAGCAAGAGUUACAUGCAAUUAAAAUCUCAUUUACAUCACAAUUUGGUUACGGCAGUCUAUUGCUUAGUUGAUUGGUGUGCCAUCCAUGCGCUUUCUACCGUUUAAAUAAACAUGAUGCUUGUGAGUUAA